CUUGCAAGUUUGAUGGCGACCGGCGCACGGGUGAGUAACACGUAUCCAACCUGCCGAUAACUCGGGGAUAGCCUUUCGAAAGAAAGAUUAAUAUCCGAUAGUAUAUUAAAACCGCAUGGUUUUACUAUUAAAGAAUUUCGGUUAUCGAUGGGGAUGCGUUCCAUUAGUUUGUUGGCGGGGUAACGGCCCACCAAGACUACGAUGGAUAGGGGUUCUGAGAGGAAGGUCCCCCACAUUGGAACUGAGACACGGUCCAA
rnacentral:rRNA from 1 species